ensembl:lncRNA
CUUAUUUUUGCACAGUUUCAAUCUUUAAGUAAAUCUUUAUUCAUGUUUACAUUAAAAUUGAGACCAAAUAAUAGAAAAUCUAAUUCAGACGACUGUGAUCCUGUUUGACGCUUAAUCAGGUAGAAAAUAAUAAUCAGUAACAGACAUUCCGCUUUAUUUAAGUUUUAAACCACAGAGAAAUAAAAUAAGAAGCUUCCUAAUAUCUGAAACACAAAGAACGAUCUGUGAUUAAAUGUAGACAACAGAAGUAGAGACAUUAAUGAGACAAAGAACGCCUUCAGGAUGUUAAAUGAACUCAUAUUAGUUCUUUAGUGUUUAUUGAUAAGAAUGUAGCAGGUUUCUAAUGGUUCUAAAUGAUUAGUAGCAUGGACACAUUCUGCAUGUAGUUAACUAAACUUUAAAAGUGUUUUUGUGACGUAAUAAAUCAAAUCACAUCAUGAACAUAACCAUCUAAAGUCAAAAAUCACAGAAAAAAACACAUUUUAUGAAAUAUUAAGUCAAAUUAAAUGUACAGAAGCCCAUUUCUGACAAAAAAGAAAAAACAAUAAUAAAAAGCAAAACAUUUGACUUAAUGUUCCAUAAGUUUGAUUUAAAAUCUGCAAAUUUUGACUUAAUUAACUUCAAAAUUUAGAUUUACUGAAUAAUAAAUGUAACACAAUGAUCUAACUCUGACUUUUUAAGUGUUUUACUUCAUGUUUAAUAACUUUUAGUCGUGUUUCCACAGUUUCAUCGCCGUCUUUAUCUGUAAAUACUCAACAGAACGGGUUUUAUUUGUGAAUAUUGCUCGUUUAGGUCACUUUAUUUUUAAAUUAAUUAAUGUCAGUAUAUAUUCUAAAUCUUCAUGGAAGCUGCAUGCUAAUAUCUCUGCACCAAUAUCUGAUUAUUUUUAUUGACUUUAGUUUUUUCUGAGAACAGUUUUGAUGCCUGUUUUAUCAUUUUUCUUAUGACUGAUUAAACUGUGGAUGUUAAUGAAUUCAAUGUAGCACAGAAACAACUGAUUAUUGGUUUAUUGAUGAACAAACUGUAUAUUUUCGGGAUUUAUUCUUCCGUAACUAACAGCAUCAACACAACUGAGUGCUUUAAGUGUUUGAAAUGUUUUUUUUGUUGUUGUAAAAGUUCUGAUAUAUUUAAGUGAAUAACUUUUAUUUGCACUAAAGUUCAAGAAACUUGAACUUGUGCAAAAGUGCAAAAUUCACUCAAAAAUCAAGCGUUAAAAAUAAAUCUGCGAAGUUUGGUACGAACGUUUUAUGUGUGAAAAAGUGUCUAACAUCUUGUCACCAAACCUGAUGGUUGUAAAAGUGAAACUAAGGGUGCUUUCACACCUACGUCUUUUAGUCCGCUUAAAGCGGACUGGAGUCCGCAACACCUGCAAGUACGGUUCGUUUGGGCUGGUGUGAAAGCAUACCAGAUUUUUUUGGUUCGGACUAACGAACCGCACCGAGACCACUUUCGGGAGGUGGUCUCGGUCCGCUUCUAUGUGAACUCCAGUUCGGUUUGCUCCUGGUGAGAACACAAACCUGUCUCCAUUCGGACCGGCUUGAUGGCGCAGCAGACUUUUUGGUCUACGGGAGCUUCCGUAGCUUCCGGGAUUUUUCCCUCUUCACAUGCUGCGCCAAUCAGCGUACACCUACGUCAUCGUAAACGCCUUGUUUUCUAAACAGCGCCGCCAAACGACUGGGGGGAGAUAUAACAUUAAUUGGAGUAGGUUCAAUGGCGAAAACACUGGUGUGAAUGCGAACCGAACCAGUUGAAAAUAGCAACAUUGUAACAACUUUUGGGUCCAAACGAACCACUCUAGCAGACUAACAGGUGUGAAAGCACCCUAAUAGUGAUGAAAUAAUCGUCAAAACAAAAGAAAACACGACGACUUAGAGUAGCUGCUUAGUUUUCUAUAAAUAUUUAUCAUGUUAUUCGAAUAUCUACAAGCUUUAUUUAACGUUUUAUUGUCAUUUAAUUGUUAGUUUUCCACAAAUAUUCAAGGAGCGGUUUUAUAACUUCAUGUAUAAAUAAUACUGUAGAUUGUAGAUUCAUCACCUGAACAAAAAAAAGUUCCUGAAAGUCCCUCAAGCAUCUUCGAAAAACAAGCGUUUUGUUACCGAAAUGUACGAAUUUAGAGGAACCUAUGAAAGUUUCAAUAAUUUCUUCUUCGUGACGUUAGCUAGCCAUAGCCGUCGGUGUUGCAUGUUAGAUUUAGAGAUGAAGUGAAUUUGCAUGAAAGUAGAUUCAACCGCUGUAACAGCUUUAGCUUUAGCUAUAGCCUUAGCAUUAGUGUUAGCCGGCACUCAGUGGUAGCAUGAGCGCUGUAAUCCAACUCUUCCAUUAGCUAACCUCAACUGUUUACCUGUUUUGCUGUUAAAGUCUGAUAUUUCAAAAUCUACUCGUUUGUAAAGAGUUUCCUCCUGUGUGCAGGGUUAACCUAGCUUAGCAUAUGGAAUGGAAUUAGUAGCAACCUCUAGCUACUGUUGCUAUAAAAUGACUAGCUUGAUUGUCCGACAAUAAGUUAAUAUCACUAGUAAAUGUUGGCAGCUAUCCAACAUUAUGCUAGCAGUUUGUAGCUAACUGCUGUAAACAGUUAACCUAGCUUAGCACAAGAACAGGAAUUAGUAACAACCUCGAGAUAUUGUUGCUAUGAAAUGACUAGCUUGAUUGUCUGACAAGAAGUUUAUAUCGCUAGUUGAUGUUGGUAGCUAUCCAACAUUAUGCUAACAGUUUAUAGCCAGCUGCUGUAAACAGUUAGCCUUGCUUAGCAUAAGGACUGGAAUUAGUAGCAACCUCUAGCUACUGUUGUUAUAAAAUGACUAUCUUGAUUGUCCGACAAGAAGUUUAUAUCACUAGUUGAUGUUGGCAGCUAUCCAACAUUAUGCUAGCAGUUUGGAGCUAGCUGCUGUAAACAGUUAGCAUUAUCUAAUAGAUGUUUUAAUGGUUACAAACAUCAUGUUGGGCGGACUAGUGUAGUACAAUGACUGUAUUUGCCCCUUGGAGAUAGCUGUUAGCAGUGACGCUACCAUGAUAACUGGAUAAGCUUUUCUAACUAGUUAUUGUUGUUAGCUACAGUUAGCCUAUCCAACACUGUGCUAGUUUUAAUAGUUAUGUCAUUAGGUGAGCUGUUUGCAGCUAGUUGCUGUUAGGAUGGGUACAAGCAGAGUGUUUGGUGGCUAAUCUCUGUGGGGUUUAGCCUAGCUUAGCACAUGGACCGGAAUCAGGAAGAAGCAGCUGGCAGUGUUGCUACAAGAUGGCUAACGUGAUUAUUUUAUGACAUGUUUUAUAGCUAGUUAAUGUUGUGUUUUUUGUUUUGUUUUUUAGCUAUUUGCAGUUAACAGAUAUAAUCGGCUGUUCAUAGCUAGCUGCUGGUUGUUUGAUAGCAUUAUUAGCUGUCUGGCUAGCAAAGUAAAUCUGUAAGAAUCUAACAGUUCCACCUGUUUCCAGUCUUUGUGCUAAGCUACGCUAACAUGUCCUAGACCUGACACACAGAUAAAAACUGAAACAAGAAGGUUUUAGAGAUGUUUAAACUGCUCAGAUUAGCGUUUGUUCUGUGAGACUGUGUCUGUUAGCUUUGUGCUCGUUGCUGUCAGGUGAACUCUGACAUUUUGUCUUGAGGCUGUCUGAAGUGAUUUUCUGAUCUUUGUUCUGAUGUUUCUGCUGUCGUCAGAUCCAGAUUGUAUUUUUGUGUUUCAUGGACUAAAACAUUUUGUAAAAGAAUAAAUAAAUGAAUAAAUAAAGUUGAUUCUUCUGGUCUUUAAUGUGUUUGUGUCUUAUUGUGAAAGGUUCAACUUAAUAAAUGAGGAACAUUUAGAUUUAAUUUCGAAUAUUUCAUGUUUUGUAAAAUAAGUCACAGAUAUCAGCUAGUUAGUAAAAUUUUGCUUAUUUUUUUUCUUGUAAACUCAGUUUUUUGGCACUUCAGGGCGUCCGUACAAACACCAAUUUAAUCCGACGGAUGAAGAUGAUUCUGUUUUUUUUUUUUGUUUUUUUUUUUCAGUAUCUCUGCGUCUUCCUGCCGAAGCCUCUGAACUCCUUUGAGCCUCUGAUCAUGACGGUUAAAUUUAGUUUGUCUCUAAUUUUACUGUGAUGAUGACAGAAAUCUGAGCCCACAGAGAUUCUCAGAGUGUUUUUAUAGUAAGAGCCAUAAAAAUAUCUGCUGCUGUCAUGAUUCUGUUUAAAACAUGACGUCACUGGACUUUAGAAACACAAUAAACAUGUUAUUUACUGUCUUCUAUAUGUAGGACAGAAACUCACCAUUUUCUAUAUUUAAUAAUCUUAUUUUUAGUUAUUAAAUUAUAAAAUGUCAGAAAACGUUUAAAAAACUUUUAUCUUAGUUCAACUGAAAAUCACAAGCGAGAAGCUGCAACCAG